AUGAUGUCAUAUUCAUCUCAAGCAUCACCUUAUUAUUCUUCUACUCCAAUGGGAAAUGAAAAUGUUCCUAAUGUUGGACUUGAUGAAUUUCCUGAUUUUUUUUACACAAACGGCUCUUGGUGGCAUGAGCGGUGGUCAUGGAGCCACUCCAAAUGUAGAGGAUUCAACUCCUGUUCGUCGGAAAAGCCCCAAAUGGACCAUUGA